AACGCACAUUGCGCCCUUUGGUAUUCCGAAGGGCAUGCCUGUUCGAGCGUCAUUAUCACCCCUCAAGCCCCCGGGCUUGGUGUUGGACGGUCUGGUGGAAGCCUCCGGGCGGUCACCCCUCCUAAAGACAAUGACGGCGGCCUGUUGGAACCCCCGGUACAUUGAGCUUCUUCAUUGAGCACGUAUCGGAUCAAGGGAACCCAGGACCCGGUCUUCUCCCUUUUAUAGGGAAACCCCCUUUUUUCUAAGGUUGACCUCGGAUCAGGUAGGAAUACCCGCUGAACUUAA
rnacentral:misc_RNA from 1 species